AUACAGAGGGUGCGAGCGUUAAGCGGAAUUACUGGGCGUAAAGGGCGCGUAGGCGGAUUGGUAAGUCGGAUGUGAAAGCCCUGGGCUUAACCUGGGAAUGCCAUUCGAUACUGCCAGACUAGAGUAUGGGAGAGGGAAGCGGAAUUCCGGGUGUAGCGGUGAAAUGCGUAGAGAUCCGGAGGAACACCAGUGGCGAAGGCGGCUUCCUGGACCAAUACUGACGCUGAGGCGCGAAAGCGUGGGGAGCAAACAGGAUUAGAAACCCCGGUAGUCC
rnacentral:rRNA from 1 species